rnacentral:rRNA from 1 species
UACGGAGGAUCCGAGCGUUAUCCGGAUUUAUUGGGUUUAAAGGGUGCGUAGGCGGUUUGAUAAGUUAGAGGUGAAAUGUCGGGGCUCAACCCCGAAACUGCCUCUAAUACUGUUGGACUAGAGAAUAGUUGCGGUAGGCGGAAUGUAUGGUGUAGCGGUGAAAUGCUUAGAGAUCAUACAGAACACCGAUUGCGAAGGCAGCUUACCAAACUAUAUCUGACACUGAGGCUCGAAAGCGUGGGGAGCAAACAGG